rnacentral:rRNA from 1 species
UACGGGGGGAGCAAGCGUUGUUCGGAUUUACUGGGCGUAAAGGGCGCGUAGGCGGUCAGCACAAGUCAGUUGUGAAAUCUCCGGGCUUAACUCGGAAAGGUCAACUGAUACUGUGCGACUAGAGUUCGGAAGAGGCGAGUGGAAUUCCCGGUGUAGCGGUGAAAUGCGCAGAUAUCGGGAGGAACACCAAUGGCGAAGGCAGCUCGCUGGGACGUUACUGACGCUGAGACGCGAAAGCGUGGGGAGCAAACAGG